rnacentral:rRNA from 1 species
UACGGAGGAUGCGAGCGUUACCCGGAUUUACUGGGUGUAAAGGGCGUGUAGGCGGUCUCUCAAGUCCGAUGCUAAAGACCGAGGCUCAACCUCGGGAGUGCGUUGGAUACUGUGAGGCUAGACGGUCGGAGAGGGCAGCGGAAUUCUCGGAGUAGCGGUGAAAUGCGCAGAUACCGAGAGGAACGCCAAUAGCGCAGGCAGCUGCCUGGACGAUGUGUGCUGCUGAGGCGCGAAAGCGUGGGGAGCAAACCGG